AGCAGCCGCGGUAAUUCCAGCUCCAAUAGCGUAUAUUAAAGUUGUUGCAGUUAAAAAGCUCGUAGUUGAAUUUCGGGAUCAAUUUAUCGGUCGUGCCAAUGGUAUGAACUGGUACAAUUGGUUUCUCCCUUCUGACGAAGCAUGAUGUCAUUAAUUUGGUGUCGUGGGGAAUCAGGACUGUUACUUUGAAAAAAUUAGAGUGUUUAAAGCAAGCAUUAGCUUGAAUACAUUAGCAUGGAAUAAUGAAAUAGGACGUUUGAUCCUAUUUCGUUGGUUUCUAGGAUCGACGUAAUGAUUAAUAGGGAUAGUUGGGGGCAUUAGUAUUCAAUUGUCAGAGGUGAAAUUCUUGGAUUUAUUGAAGACUAACUACUGCGAAAGCAUUUGCCAAGGAUGUUUUCAUUAAUCAAGAACGAAAGUUAGGGGAUCGAAGACGAUCAGAUACCGUCGUAGUCUUAACCAUAAGCUAUGCCGACUAGGGAUCGGAUGAUGUUAAUUUUUUAAUGACUCA
rnacentral:rRNA from 1 species